UACAGAGGGGGCUAGCGUUGUUCGGAAUUACUGGGCGUAAAGCGCACGUAGGCGGAUUGUUAAGUUAGGGGUGAAAUCCCGGGGCUCAACCCCGGAACUGCCUUUAAUACUGGCAAUCUCGAGUCCGAGAGAGGUGAGUGGAAUUCCGAGUGUAGAGGUGAAAUUCGUAGAUAUUCGGAGGAACACCAGUGGCGAAGGCGGCUCACUGGCUCGGUACUGACGCUGAGGUGCGAAAGCGUGGGGAGCAAACAGG
rnacentral:rRNA from 1 species